UAUGGCUUUUUAUUCCUACGUGAUGGCAGAUGUGGUUCAUGUAGGAUUCUAAGCCACUA
rnacentral:pre_miRNA from 1 species